UGAUACUAAUGUUGGAAAAGCAGUUAGUGAUCAUUUCAGUGGAGACCCUUUAGGAAGUGCUUUUAAUGUAACUGCAUCACAAUAAAAAAAAAGUUAUCCAUUCUCUGGAAGUGAUCCAUUUGGGGGAUUUGAUACCGCUUCUACCCCUACAGACCCUG